AGAGUUUGAUCAUGGCUCAGGACGAACGCUGGCGGCGUGCUUAACACAUGCAAGUCGAGCGGAAAGGCCCUUCGGGGUACUCGAGCGGCGAACGGGUGAGUAACACGUGAGCAACCUGCCCUUAGCUUUGGGAUAACCCUCGGAAACGGGGGCUAAUACCGAAUGUUCACUUCCUGUCGCAUGGUGGGGGGUGGAAAGUUUUUCGGCUAGGGAUGGGCUCGCGGCCUAUCAGCUUGUUGGUGGGGUGAUGGCCUACCAAGGCGACGACGGGUAGCCGGCCUGAGAGGGCGACCGGCCACACUGGGACUGAGACACGGCCCAGACUCCUACGGGAGGCAGCAGUGGGGAAUAUUGCACAAUGGGCGCAAGCCUGAUGCAGCGACGCCGCGUGAGGGAUGACGGCCUUCGGGUUGUAAACCUCUUUCAGCAGGGACGAAGGGUGACUGACGGUACCUGCAGAAGAAGCGCCGGCCAACUACGUGCCAGCAGCCGCGGUAAGACGUAGGGCGCGAGCGUUGCCCGGAUUUAUUGGGCGUAAAGAGCUCGUGGGCGGCUUGUCGCGUCGACUGUGAAAACCCGUGGCUCAACCAUGUGGUCUGCAGUCGAUACGGGCAGGCUAGAAUUCGGUAGGGGAGACUGGAAUUCCUGGUGUAGCGGUGAAAUGCGCAGAUUCAGGAGGAACACCGGUGGCGAAGGCGGGUCUCUGGGCCGAUAUUGACGCUGAGGAGCGAAAGCGUGGGGAGCGAACAGGAUUAGAUACCCUAGUAGUCC
rnacentral:rRNA from 1 species